UGCUUGAGGCGUAUUUUGAACGCAAAAAUGAGUGCAUUUUUUUCUUUUAAUUUUUUUCAGGUAAUCGUAUCACGAGUUAGUUCUCCUCACACAAGCCAACACAUUCAGACCCGGCUUGUGUUAUAAGUGCAGCUUGUGCAAGAGCUUCUACGUUCUUAAAAGACAAUAUUUAACUGCUUGAAUCUUCGGUACGGGUUGUACCAGACGGAAAGGAGUCAUUGCACUCUUACAAGCCAACAACUAUCGGCUUGAUCUAUCGGUGCGGGUUAAACCGCUGAGUGUCUGCCAGACACUUUGAAAGUGUUUGAAAGUGUUUUAAAGUGUCUGAAGCACUGUUGAGAAUUCACGGAGGCAUAUCUCAAAACGAAAAAAGCAGGCAAAUGAUGUAGAGGAAAAUCCAGGCCCUUCAAUAUUUGAUGUCAUCGAUCCAACAAGAACAAUAUGUGCUGACUACAGUCAAGGAAAUGAAGCUCUCUUCGGUGAAAAUGCUGAAAUAAAAGAAACCAAACACAACAUAUGAAAAGGAAACAAAAGUCUUUAACUGAAACGCCAGAAGAAAAAGAAAAACGAUUGAUUGCUAGACAUGAAUAUGAGAAACGAAGAAGGGUAAAUGAAAGUGAGGAAUCUAGGGAAAAGAGGCUGGCCCAGCAGCAUCUGAACAAGGAAAAGAAACGUGCAAAUGAAUCUUCUGAAUCAAGAAAAAAGAGGCUGGCAACCCAAUCUCAGUAUCAAAGACAAAAAAUUGCAGAAUGUAGAGAGAAGAGACUGUUAAACCAACGCCAAUAUCAGAAUGAAACUAGACGCAUAAUUGUGUUCACCCAGGCUUUCUGUUGGAAAUAAACUUUGUUUUUUGUGCUUGCAUUUGCCUAAGUUUUUAUGCAAUUAUUGGUUUAUCCUGUAACUGUUUUUGUGUGGUUUACACUUCGUUGGAAGGACAAAUUUUUAUGGCACACACUUCAUU